UACGUAGGGGGCGAGCGUUGUCCGGAUUUAUUGGGCGUAAAGAGCUCGUAGGCGGUUUGGUAAGUCGGGUGUGAAAUCUCCACGCUCAACGUGGAGGGGCCACUCGAUACUGCCAUGACUCGAGUCCGGUAGAGGAGUGUGGAAUUCCCGGUGUAGAGGUGAAAUUCGUAGAUAUUGGGAAGAACACCGGUGGCGAAGGCGGCGCUCUGGACCGAGACUGACGCUGAGGCGCGAAAGCGUGGGGAGCAAACAGG
rnacentral:rRNA from 1 species